GACGAACGCUGGCGGCGUGCCUAAUACAUGCAAGUAGAACGCUGAAGAGAGGAGCUUGCUCUUCUUGGAUGAGUUGCGAACGGGUGAGUAACGCGUAGGUAACCUGCCUGGUAGCGGGGGAUAACUAUUGGAAACGAUAGCUAAUACCGCAUAAAAUGGAUUAUCGCAUGAUAAUCCAUUGAAAGGUGCAAAUGCAUCACUACCAGAUGGACCUGCGUUGUAUUAGCUAGUUGGUGGGGUAACGGCUCACCAAGGCGACGAUACAUAGCCGACCUGAGAGGGUGAUCGGCCACACGGGGACUGAGACACGGCCCAGACUCCUACGGGAGGCAGCAGUAGGGAAUCUUUGGCAAUGGACGGAAGUCUGACCGAGCAACGCCGCGUGGUGGAAGAAGGUUGUCGGAUCGUAAAGCUCGGUUGUAAGAGAAGAACGAGUGUGAGAGUGGAAAGUUCACACUGUGACGGUAUCUUACCAGAAAGGGACGGCUAACUACGUG
rnacentral:rRNA from 1 species